rnacentral:misc_RNA from 1 species
GAUGAAGAACGCAGCGAAAUGCGAUAAGUAGUGUGAAUUGCAGAAUUCCGUGAAUCAUCGAAUCUUUGAACGCACAUUGCGCCCCCUGGCAUUCCGGGGGGCAUGCCUGUCCGAGCGUCAUUUCUGCCCUCCAGCCCGGCUGGGUGUUGGGCGCUGUCCCCCCGGGGACACGCCCCAAAGGCAGUGGCGGCGCCGCGUCGGGUCCUCGAGCGUAUGGGGCUUUGUCACCCGCUCGGGACGGACUCGUCGGCGCUGGUCUUCCUCCAGGCGACCCUUCGGGGCUCGUCUUCCUUCGGUUGACCUCGGAUCAGGUAGGGUUACCCGCUGAACUUAAGCAUAUCAAUAAGCGGAGGA